UUGGGUUCGUUGAAAAUUGUAUAAGUUGCAAAACAGAAAAAGGGAGGGUUCGAAAAGGGAACUUCGCAGCGGCGAGAUUUCAACCUGGAAACUGUGCUUUCUCUUCGGUGGUAAGACUGCUUGAGCGGCGGCGAUGAUCGACGGUUCGAAGGGGAAGGGUUUCAUUCUCUUCUCUUCGAUCUGAAAAAAUAUUAGUUCGAUUCUUGAGAGUGCCUUGGAUGACAAAGGGCAGGGACAGACCAUGACUUCACUACAACUGUUCUGUUCUUAAACGUGAUUUCUAUCCCAGAUAUAUUACUUACUCAAAGGAGGAGGAAGCGGUUCGAUGUAUUCAAUCAGUGCAUGGGUUUACCUUGGAUGGUAGAUCAUUGAGGGCAUGCUUUGGAACCACAAAGUAUUGUCAUGCCUGGCUGAGAAAUGUGUCUUGCAGCAAUCCUGAUUCUAUAUUUGCAUGAGAUUGGCACACAAGAAGAUAGUUUCACUAAAGAUGA